GCGUCAGUAGUAUAACGGACAGAGCACGCGCUCCCGGAAAGAGUGGGGUGCGGGUUCUAGUCUUGCCUGACGCG